GAUGAACGCUGGCGGCGUGCCUAAUACAUGCAAGUCGAGCGAACAGAUGAGGAGCUUGCUCCUCUGACGUUAGCGGCGGACGGGUGAGUAACACGUGGAUAACCUACCUAUAAGACUGGGAUAACUUCGGGAAACCGGAGCUAAUACCGGAUAAUAUAUUGAACCGCAUGGUUCAAUAGUGAAAGACGGUUUUGCUGUCACUUAUAGAUGGAUCCGCGCCGCAUUAGCUAGUUGGUAAGGUAACGGCUUACCAAGGCAACGAUGCGUAGCCGACCUGAGAGGGUGAUCAGCCACACUGGAACUGAGACACGGUCCAGACUCCUACGGGAGGCAGCAGUAGGGAAUCUUCCGCAAUGGGCGAAAGCCUGACGGAGCAACGCCGCGUGAGUGAUGAAGGUCUUCGGAUCGUAAAACUCUGUUAUUAGGGAAGAACAAAUGUGUAAGUAACUAUGCACGUCUUGACGGUACCUAAUCAGAAAGCCACGGCUAACUACGU
rnacentral:rRNA from 1 species